rnacentral:tRNA from 1 species
GCCUGGCUAGCUCAGUCUGUUAAGAGCAUGAGACUCUUAAUCUCAGGGUCAUGGGUUGGAGCCCCACCUUGGGCU